rnacentral:rRNA from 1 species
UACGUAGGCAGCAAGCGUUGUUCGGAAUUACUGGGCGUAAAGAGUGUGUAGGCGGUGCUCUAAGUUCGGUGUGAAAUCUCCCGGCUCAACUGGGAGGGUGCGCCGGAAACUGGAAUGCUUGAGUGCGGCAGAGGAGACUGGAAUUCCUGGUGUAGCAGUGAAAUGCGUAGAUAUCGGGAGGAACACCAGUGGCGAAGGCGCUUUCUGGCCUGUAAACUGACGCUGA